rnacentral:misc_RNA from 1 species
AUGAGACUUUUGUCCUUCUUUAAUAUGCAAUGAGUUAAAAGAUUGAUUCCCAGAUUGCAAAAUAUUUGCAGGACAACUAUAGCUCCGGAUACUCGAGCCCAAGCACCAUCCUCUGCUGCUUUUCAGAUAUGCAGCACUGGAAGUGUGCAGGACAAUGCUGGGAAGCCUUAACUGAGUGGCUACAUCAUCAACGAAAAUCAUGACAUUAUCAUAAACGAUACAAGCAAGCUGA